rnacentral:rRNA from 1 species
AUUGCUCUUCAACGAGGAAUCCCUAGUAAGCGUGAGUCAUCAGCUCAUGUUGAUUACGUCCCUGCCCUUUGUACACACCGCCCGUCGCUACUACCGAUUGAAUGGCUUAGUGAGACUCUCGGAUCGGGUUUUGGGAACCGGCAACGGAUCCUUUCUUCUGAGAAGUUUGUCAAACUUGGUCAUUUAGAGGAAGUAAAAGUCGUAACAAGGUUUCCGUAGGUGAACCUGCGGAAGGAUCAUUAGAAUAUUCGGGAAUUUUUUUCCUAAAUAUCUUAUUCAAAAAAUUUCCAUUCUAUUAAAAAAUAAUUUUUUAAACUUUAUUAAAAAAAUAAAGACAACUUUCAACAACGGAUCUCUUGGCUCUUGCAUCGAUGAAGAACGCAGUGAAAUGCGAUACGUAAUGUGAAUUGCAGAAUUCCGUGAAUCAUCAAAUCUUUGAACGCAAAUUGCACUCCUUGGUAUUCCGAGGAGUAUGCUUGCUUGAGGGUCGAAUCAUAUUAUCGUUUUAUAACGGAUCUGGGUUUUUCCAAGUUUUUUUUAAACCUUGGUAACCUAAAAUUUAUCUUAAUAAUAUUUGUAAUAUUGAAAAUGUGUAUCUUACGUUCACGUGAGUUUAUUGACAAUCAUUAUGAAUUUAUUACGUCGUAUUAUUCACUCGAUUUUUUUAACGAUCGGGGCGAAAAUGAUACAAUUUUUUAAAAUUCGACCUCAAGUCAAGUAAGAAUACCCGCUGAACUUAAGCAUAUCAAUAAGCGGAGGAAAAGAAACUAACAAGGAUUCCCUUAGUAACGGCGAGUGAACUGGGAAGAGCUCAAAUUUAAAAUCAUCAGGGUUUCCUUGAUGAGUUGUAAUUUGAAGAAAGUGUUUUGAUGUUCGGGUUUCAUCUAAAUCCUUUGGGAUAAGGUAUCAUAGAGGGUGAGAAUCCCGUUCGUGAUUAAACCUCGGAUGUCACUUAAUUCAUUUUCUAAGAGUCGAGUUGUUUGGGAUUGCAGCUCAAAAUGGGUGGUAAAUUUCACCUAAGGCUAAAUAUAUGCGAGAGACCGAUAGCGAACAAGUACCGUGAGGGAAAGAUGAAAAGAACUUUGAAAAGAGAGUUAAAUAGUACGUGAAAUUGUUGAAAGGGAAACGAUUGAAGUCAGUCAUGCUAGUGAGGAAUCAACUCGGUGGUUUUCUUCCGGGUGUACUUUCUCGCCUGGCAGGUUAGCAUCAAUUUCGUUCAUCAUUAAAUGAUCGGGGUAAUGUGGCUUCUCUUCGGAGUAGUGUUAUAGACCUUGGUAGAUGUGAUGAUCGGGAUUGAGGAUUGCAGCGAAUGCUAUUUGGCUAGUCCCCUGAUUUCUGAUGGUCACCUCGCCUUCGACAGCUUGCUGACGUGGGUGGGUUCUGAUUGUCUAGAUGUUAGAGUGAUCAUAUAUUCGCUAAGGAUGCUGACGUAAUGGCUUUAAACGACCCGUCUUGAAACACGGACCAAGGAGUCUAACAUAUGUGCGAGUGUU